CUCCUUCCGGGUGCAGGCGGGCCUGGGCAGUCUGAGUCCUACCUCAGCCCCCACCUCACCUCCCUGCAUCCUCCUAGCAUCUCUGCAGGGCUAGCCCAGAGGUUGGCGGCGGAAGGCCCACAGCUCCCCUGGCUCCAUGGGCAAUGACCGAACAGCCCUUCACCUCUCUGGGCCUUGUUUUCUCAAACUGAAACUGGAGAGGAUGACCCCAGCCUGGGACCUUCGAGGGCCUCAAAAGGGCUCUGGGCCUUGCGUGGCUGGACGAUGAAUGUGAUGGCUGGAACUCAAGCAGCCACAGUGGAUCAUAAGGUAAAGACGUGUUUAAAAUGGCAGAGCAGCAAGACAGAAGGAAUAAUCACACAGCUAGCAUACUAGCUCAACCUCUCUAGUGCAUACCUGUGAGCUAAGCCUUUGUUUUUUUGUUGUUGUUGUGUUGUUUUGUUUUGAGAUGGAGUUUUGCUCUUGUUGCCCAGACAAUGGCACAAUCUCGGCUCACUGC
rnacentral:lncRNA from 1 species